GGUGGAUGCCCUGGCAGUCAGAGGCGAUGAAGGACGUGCUAAUCUGCGAAAAGCGUCGGUAAGGUGAUAUGAACCGUUAUAACCGGCGAUGUCCGAAUGGGGAAACCCAGUGCAAUUCGUUGCACUAUCGUUAACUGAAUACAUAGGUUAACGAGGCGAACCGGGGGAACUGAAACAUCUAAGUACCCCGAGGAAAAGAAAUCAACCGAGAUUCCCCCAGUAGCGGCGAGCGAACGGGGAGCAGCCCAGAGUCUGAAUCAGCUUGUGUGUUAGUGGAACGGUCUGGAAAGUCCGACGGUACAGGGUGAUAGUCCCGUACACCAAAAUGCACAGGCUGUGAACUCGAAGAGUAGGGCGGGACACGUGGUAUCCUGUCUGAAUAUGGGGGGACCAUCCUCCAAGGCUAAAUACUCCUGACUGACCGAUAGUGAACCAGUACCGUGAGGGAAAGGCGAAAAAGAACCCCGGCGAGGGGAGUGAAAAAGAACCUGAAACCGUGUACGUACAAGCAGUGGG
rnacentral:rRNA from 1 species